rnacentral:lncRNA from 1 species
GUGUGUCAGAGAGCACCAAGGGGAGGUGACAUUGGUGCUGAUGUGUCAUUAGCUGAAAUAGAAGUCAGGGGCUGGUCUGAGGAGGAAGAUGAUGAUUCCCUGUUAGAGCUGCUGACUCAGAGAUGCUAAGAUUUACCUUCUGGUGAGAUAUUUUAACCUCCUCUCAAACUCUACAUCCUAUCAAUCUCUGGCUGGGAAACUUCCAGUGGGUUUUCACUGCCCUCUGGACAAAAAUCCCAGUUAUUUAACUUGGCAUUCAAGGGCCUCCACAAUCUUGCCCAGUCUGCUUUCCUGCCCCCGUCCCCAGGUGAACCUUCAAUUCUGGCUGUGAUGGGCUCCUCACAGUCUCCACCUAGGCUACAUCCCUUUGUGCCUCCUUACCUGGGUCCUAGGAGAGUCUCCUGAACUCUCCAGUCCACAGCCGUCCUGCUCUUCUCAGGACCCAUGCCUCUUUUUCUGCCUGCUUGCCCUCUUAGAUUGUUUAAGUGUCUUAUAAGCAAGGGCCCAACUCUCCAAUAAGAAUGCAGUCUCCUCAAGUGAUAGGCUGGCCCCUUCAGGAUCCUCUCUUCAUUGGAUUUGCUCCAUACACUUGCCCAGAAUUGCACUGAGGGGCUUUACAGAUAAGUAUCUUCUUGUGUGAAAUGAAGAAGGAGAGACAAAAUGGAAAGAACCCAGAAGACAAAAGAGCUUCCCACCCAAAUUCAGGAGUCAGAUGACAGAAUUCAGCUGUGGUCAAAAGUGUUUGGAAGCUGGCCAGGUGUGGUGGCUCAAGUCUGUAAUCCCAGCACUUUGGGAGGCCAAGGGGCAAAGAUCACUUGAGGCCAGCAGUUCGAGACUAGCCUGAACAACACAG